rnacentral:rRNA from 1 species
UACGGGGGGGGCAAGCGUUGUUCGGAAUUACUGGGCGUAAAGGGCUCGUAGGUGGCCAACUAAGUCGGACGUGAAAUCCCUCGGCUUAACCGGGGAACUGCGUCCGAUACUGGUUGGCUUGAGUUUGGGAGAGGGAUGCGGAAUUCCAGGUGUAGCGGUGAAAUGCGUAGAUAUCUGGAGGAACACCGGUGGCGAAGGCGACAUCCUGGACCAAUACUGACGCUGAGGAGCGAAAGCCAGGGGAGCAAACGGG